rnacentral:rRNA from 1 species
UACGAAGGGGGCUAGCGUUGCUCGGAAUGACUGGGCGUAAAGGGCGCGUAGGCGGUUUGCACAGUCAGGCGUGAAAUUCCUGGGCUUAACCUGGGGGCUGCGCUUGAUACGUGUGGACUGGAGUGCGGAAGAGGGUCGUGGAAUUCCCAGUGUAGAGGUGAAAUUCGUAGAUACUGGGAAGAACACCGGUGGCGAAGGCGGUUGCCUGGAAGAUUCCUGACUCUGAAACACGAAAGCCAGGGGAGCAAACGGG